CUUCAGCAAGAAGCUGCCAGUACGCCCCGACUUCAAGACCAUACAGAAAAUGAUGGUUGAGGCAAGGGCGCUGAAGGCCUCCUCUUCUUCGUAUAAGAAGCAAAUGGAGGAGUUGGUGGGGGCCAGUAAGAGGCUUCAACCUCCGACGGAGGAGGAGGUUCAGGAGGAUCCGGAGGCUGACCUCCGAAGGAAGGGCAAGAAAAGUGCUGCUCCUCCCAGACGCCCAACUGUGGCGAGGCCACCCUCAGUUAUGCGGCAGACAACUAUUCCCACGAGGGUGGCCCUCCCAGAGAGAAGCCCCGCUGCGGUAGAGCAUGUCGCUGCCCCGGACACGGCGCCCCUUGCGGCCGUACCCAUUGAACACGUUCCGGGGCAGCAGAGGAGGAAAAGGGCCCGCUCCAGCAAAGAGGUUGAUUUCCUUGGCACUAAUUCAGAAGAGCCCGUAAGGGAGGUGCUGGAGGCUCUCCCUCCGGAAACAGCUGCAGUGGCGGUGGUCCACAUCAAAUAUUGGACUGAAGAGUGGAGGGACCACACCGCCUCCUGCACAGCUGAAGACUUGGUGGCGGCGAACAGUGCCUGCGUGGCCCGGGCACUAAGCACAAGUAUCCAACUCGAGGGCUUGGUGAAGGAUCUAAACUCCAAGAGGGAGGACCUCGCCAAGCGCCUCGAGGAGGCGAUGCACUAUGGGGACGCUGUGCGAGCUGCCCAGGCCAAAGCCACCAAAGCAGAGGAGGGCAAGAGAGCUGCUGAGGUCCAGCUCGCUGCUUCGCAGGCAGAGGUGGAGCGGCUGAAAAAAGAGCUCUACGAAGUGGAGUGCCAGGUGGCUGCGGUGACUCGGCGACUUGACCACGCUAACGAGCACCACAAGCUUGCCACCGAUGCUCUGGAGGCCUCCAGCAAAGAAAAGGCGGAGCUGAAGCAGUAGACAGAGGCCCAGUCAGUGGAGAUCGCCUCUCUGAAGGAGGAAUUAAAGUCUGCGGGGGAGGUGGCGGUUCAGAAUUUUAUUGAUCACUUCGAAGACCAUCCCCUUUACAACGACUUUGCCAACUUCUGGGCCUCGUGGAGUGCCCAAAGCCUACUAGGUCGGCUGAAGGAGGUGCACCCUACCCUGGACAUCUCUCAACUGGAGGCAGAGUUCGGGGGAUCCACUGGAGGUCGGCCUGAUAAGGUUACUGAGGAGGCUCCAGAGGCCCAGGAGGUGGCCAGUGCUGAAAUUUCUCCCACAGAUUAGGGUUUCCUUUUUAUUUUGUAAUGGCUUUGGCCCCCCAUGUACUUAAUUUUGUGAAAUGGAAUGGAAAAUUUUGUUAAAU
rnacentral:lncRNA from 1 species